CCGGGAGCCUUGGACUCUGCGCUCCUACCCCUGAGAAAGGACCAAUGACAUCACUGGAUGAUGUCUUAAUACACAUGAAUUGGAUUUAAGUGUGACAGAGCUGCAGAGAGUCAUCAGACUCAUCCUCUUUCU
rnacentral:lncRNA from 1 species